rnacentral:rRNA from 1 species
CCUACGGGAGGCAGCAGUGAGGAAUAUUGGUCAAUGGGCGCGAGCCUGAACCAGCCAAGUCGCGUGAAGGAAGACGGCCCUAUGGGUUGUAAACUGCUUUUGUAUGGGAAGAAACGACGGUACGUGUACUGUUUUGCCGGUACCAUACGAAUAAGGAUCGGCUAACUCCGUGCCAGCAGCCGCGGUAAU